GUGUCAGCAGCCGCGGUAAGACGGAGGAUGCAAGCGUUAUCCGGAAUUAUUGGGCGUAAAGCGUCCGCAGGUGGCUGUUCAAGUCUGCUGUCAAAGCGCAGAGCUUAACUCUGUACAGGCGGUGGAAACUGAAGAGCUAGAGUAUGGUAGGGGUAGAGGGAAUUCCCGGUGUAGCGGUGAAAUGCGUAGAUAUCGGGAAGAACACCAGUGGCGAAAGCGCUCUACUGGGCCAUAACUGACACUGAGGGACGAAAGCUAGGGGAGCGAAAGGGAUUAGAUACCCCUGUAGUCC
rnacentral:rRNA from 1 species